UACGUAGGGGGCAAGCGUUGUUCGGAAUUACUGGGCGUAAAGCGCACGUAGGCGGAUUCCUAAGUCGGUGGUGAAAUCCUGGAGCUCAACUCCAGAACUGCCUCCGAUACUGAGAGUCUUCGAGUCCGGGAGAGGUGAGUGGAACUGCGAGUGUAGAGGUGAAAUUCGUAGAUAUUCGCAAGAACACCAGUGGCGAAGGCGGCUCACUGGCCCGGUACUGACGCUGAGGUGCGAAAGCGUGGGGAGCAAACAGG
rnacentral:rRNA from 1 species